rnacentral:rRNA from 1 species
UACGUAGGGUGCAAGCGUUGUCCGGAAUUAUUGGGCGUAAAGAGCUCGUAGGCGGUUUGUCGCGUCGAAUGUGAAAACCCGGGGCUCAACCUCGGAACUGCCUUCGAUACUGACGGGUCUCGAGUCCGGGAGAGGUGAGUGGAAUUCCUAGUGUAGAGGUGAAAUUCGUAGAUAUUAGGAAGAACACCAGUGGCGAAGGCGGGUUGCUGGGCUGACACUGACGCUGAAGCGCGAAAGCUAGGGGAGCGAACGGG